GCCCGAUUAGCUCAGCUGGUUAGAGCGUCGUACUAAUAGAAUUCUCACAUCCGUUCUACCCUCUCCAUCAAGAGAGGGGCGAAUAGAGGUUCUAAAUAGUCAUGCGAAGGUCAACAGUUCAAUCCUGUUAUUGGGCA